GGGGCUCCUGAAACUCACAUGGUAAGCGCUGCAGAAACGCAGCAGGUGGUGACUUUAGGGGAGGACAGGCCAAAUGGGAGAAUCCCCUUAAGCUUCGGUUUCUCUAGUUCUCAACUUCUUUUGAAAUAAUGUUCAUAGAGAAGGAGGGCUGUCUGAGAUUCGAGGGAAACAAGCUCUCAGGACUUCCGGUCGCCAUGAUGGCUGUGGGCGGUAAACGCGGUUAGUGCAAGCAUCUGGGCCAUCUUCAAUGGUAAAAAAGAUACAGUAAAGACAUAAAUACCACAUUUGACAAAUGGAAAAAAAGGAGUGUCCAGAAAAGAGUAGCAGCAGUGAGGAAGAGCUGCCGAGACGGGACAGUGGAUCCAGUAGGAACAUAGAUGCAUCCAAACUCAUUAGACUACAAGGAUCACGGAAACUGUUGGUUGACAAUAGCAUACGGGAACUGCAAUACACAAAAACUGGAAUUUUUUUUCAGGCUGAGGCCUGUGUGACAAAUGAUACGUAAGGGACAUCUAUUUGUUGGGAAAAAAUUAAAGAUUUGGAAUUUUGCUCCAUUGGUUUAUGUACAUUCAUAAGAAGCAAAGACAUGCAGGUUAUUUGCAUAAAAAUUAGUAUAUAUGUU
rnacentral:lncRNA from 1 species